rnacentral:lncRNA from 1 species
CCUGACUCUCUCCCUUUCCAGGACUGAAGCUUUCACACCCCCAGCCAGCAGCUGGCAGUCCCUCCCCAGGAACUGUCCUUCCCGGGAGAGCCACCUCACCCAAGGUCACGCCCACACCCUAGAGGCAGCUCACAUUCACUAAGUCCCUCCCCUCAAUGCAGGACAACUCUGAAGGUCCUUGCAGACCAGGGCGCCCCUCCAUUGCAAGUGCAGGCAGCCCAGCUUUUCCCUGUGCUCACUUCUCCCUCUCCCAUGCCGGUGUGCGUCUUGAGGGCACUCCCAGCAAACUUGCUGCACACAAACCUCAGUCUCCUGGGGAGCCUGUCCUGCAACAGCUUAUUAGGUACCAGGCACGAUCCUAGGCACUUUAUGCAUAUUAUUUCAUACUAUCCUCCCAACAACCCCAAGAGGCAGGCACUUUUAUUAUCAAAGGCUAUGUAACUUGUCCAAGGUCACAGAGCUAGCAAGCCAGAGAGCCAGGGUUGUUAUGCAGGGAGUUGGGCUCCGGGGCUCUGAAAUGUUACAACACUGUCUUAAUUCCUAUAGUCUAGCUUGAGGAAAUUAGACAGAAGAAACAGUGAAGAUGUAUUCUGAUUUGAGGGGGGAAUAAAUCUCAGCCGGGCACGGUGGCUCAUGCCUAUAAUCCCAGCACUUUGGGAAGUUGAGGCAGGUGGAUCAUUUGAAGUCAGGAGUAGAAACCAGCCCCAUUUCUACUAAAAAUACAAAAAAAAAAAAAAAAAAAAAUUAGCCGCGUGUGGUGGUGGGUGCCUGUAAUCCCAGCUACUCAGGAGGCUGAGGCAGGAGAAUCGCUUGAACCCAGGACACAGAGGUUGCAGUGAGUCGAGAUCGCGACACUGCACUCCAGCCUAGGGGACAGAACAAGACUCCGUCUCAAAAAAAAAAAAAAAAAAAAAUCUCUGUUGCCCCAGUUUUCUACCAGUCUCGCUUUAGUUUCUGAAUAUGCAGCCCCCUGGUGUCUUAGUUUACUUUAAUGGUUCUUAUCCAGGGCCAAUUUUGCUUCCCAGAGGAUAUUUGGUAAUAUCUGGAAGAUCUGGAGACAUUUUUUCAUUGACAUCCUAGAGGGAUAGUAAGGGCAUUCAGCAGGUAGAGGCCAAGGGUGCUACUAAGUGUCCUACAAUGUACAGGGCAGCCUCCCACAACAAAUCUAGCUAAAUGUUGGUAGUACUGAGGUUGAGAAACCCUGUGCUCUAGCUGGAAGCCUGGUCUCCUGGCUGGUUUUACCCUGAAGGAGUCCCAGUGUGAUGACUGCUUGGGAGUGGACUUUGGUGAAGGUGGUGAGAGAUACUUGAGCAUGGGAGUGGAGAGGUUUGGAGGGCAAACCUCCAAGGAUUUCAUGAUCCUUGAAGGACAAAUAUUAUCCCAAGUUAGUUCAAGGGAAGAUCACACAGAGCUUCUGGUUAAUAGCAGUGGCUGAGCUCUGAAGGCACCCCUUUUCCUCGACCAGGAAGCUCCUAGGGUAAUGUAGUGGACCAGGCAUUUCCUACCCUCCUCCCAACUCCCCUGUAAACGUGUACACUGAUGGCCGGGCACAGUAGCUCACACCUGUAAUCCCAGCACUGUGGGAGGCUGAGGCAGGCGAAUCACUUGAGGCCAGGAGUUGGAGACCGGCCUCACCAACAUGGCAAAACCCUGUCUCUACUAAAAAUACAAAAAUUAGCCAGCUGUGGUUGUGCACGCCUGUAAUCCCAGCUACUGGGGAGGCUGAGGCAGGAGAAUCGUUUGAACUCGGGAGGUGGAGGUUGCAGUCAGCCGAGAUCACACCACUGCACCCCAGCCUGGGUGACAGAGCGAGAUACUGUCUCUAAAAAAAAAAAAGAAAAAAAAAUUAAAUAUCUAGAAUGGGCAGGGGGUUGUGGGGGAUCCUUCUCCCUAAGCGCUUAUCUUGGUGCUUCCAGCUCAGUCUGGCCAAUUCCACCUCUAUGAGAUAAGGAGGGUUCAGAGAACCCAGUCACUUUGCUGUUUUUCUGCCCACAAGUUUCUCUAAUAAAUCUUAUUCUAUGUCUACACA